AACUUUUGACAACGGAUCUCUUGGCUCUCGCAUCGAUGAAGAACGCAGCGAAAUGCGAUAAGUAAUGUGAAUUGCAGAAUUCAGUGAAUCAUCGCAUCUUUGAACGCACCUUGCGCUCCUUGGUAUUCCGAGGAGCAUGCCUGUUUGAGUGUCAUUAAAUUCUCAACCGUUAUUAAUUUAGCGGCUUGGAUGUGUGGGUUGCCGGCUUCCGUCAGCUUCCAUCAAAUGCAUUAGCCGGUGCCGUACGGGCGUCUAUUUGGUGUGAUAAUUAUCUACACCGGUGGACUCUGUCAUUUGCACUGCUUCUAACCGUCUUUUGAAGACAAAUAAUGACAAUUUGACCUCAAAUCAGGUAGGACUACCCGCUGAACUUAAGCAUAUCAAGACGCGGAGGCU
rnacentral:misc_RNA from 1 species